CCUACGGGUGGCAGCAGUGAGGAAUAUUGGUCAAUGGCCGCAAGGCUGAACCAGCCAAGCCGCGUGAAGGACGAAUGUGCCAAGCAUUGUAAACUUCUUUUGUCAAGGUACAAAAUCAGGCACGAGAGCCUGAUCGUGUGUACUUGAUGAAAAAGCAUCGGCUAACUCCGUGCCAGCAGCCGCGGUAAUACGGAGGAUGCGAGCGUUAUCCGGAUUUAUUUGGUUUAAAGGGUGCGUAAGUGGGAUAUUAAGUCAGCUGUGAAAGGUUGGGGCUCAAACCGAAGCUAGCGUGUGAAACUGGCUGUCGUGAGAUGUGUAGAGGUAGGCGGAAUGCGCAGUGUAGCGGUGAAAUGCUUAGAUAUUGCGCAGAACUCCGAUUGCGAAGGCAGCAUACCGGCGGGGAUCUGACGCUGAGGCACGAAAGCGUGGGUAUCGAACAGGAUUAGAUACCCCGGUAGUC
rnacentral:rRNA from 1 species